rnacentral:rRNA from 1 species
UACGUAGGGGGCAAGCGUUGUCCGGAUUUAUUGGGUUUAACGGGUGCGUAGGUGGGUUGGUAAGUCAGUGGUGAAAUCCCCGAGCUUAACUUGGGAACUGCCAUUGAUACUAUCAGUCUUGAAUACCGUGGAGGUUAGCGGAAUAUGUCAUGUAGCGGUGAAAUGCUUAGAUAUGACAUAGAACACCAAUUGCGAAGGCAGCUGGCUACACGAAUAUUGACACUGAGGCACGAAAGCGUGGGGAUCAAACAGG